GACCGGGUAGCUCAGCUGGUAGAGCAGCGGACUUUUAAUCCGCAGGUCGUGGGUUCGAGCCCCACCCCGGUCA
rfam:Gemmatimonas sp. SG8_38_2 WOR_8-12_23432, whole genome shotgun sequence.